GAUGAACGCUAGCUACAGGCUUAACACAUGCAAGUCGAGGGACCGGCGCACGGGUGAGUAACACGUAUCCAACCUGCCCUUUACUCGGGGAUAGCCUUUCGAAAGAGAGAUUAAUACAAGAUAUAAAGGAUGGGGAUGCGUUCCAUUAGGUUGUUGGUGCGGUAAAGGCUAACACAGCCUUCGAUGGAUAGGGGUUCUGUGAGGAAGGUCCCCCACAUUGGAACUGAGACACGGUCCAAACGCGUACGGGAGGCAGCAGUGAGGAAUAGUGGUCAAUGGGCGCUAGCCUGAACCAGCCAAGUAGCGUGAAGGAUGAAGGCUUAUGGGUCGUAAUCUUCUUUUAUAUAAGAAUAUGUAUUAUAUGAAUAAGGAUCGGCUAACUCCGUGCCAGCAGCCGCGGUAAUAC
rnacentral:rRNA from 1 species